UACGUAGGGUGCGAGCGUUAAUCGGAAUUACUGGGCGUAAAGCGUGCGCAGGCGGUUAUUUAAGUCAGGUGUGAAAGCCCUGGGCUUAACCUAGGAGUUGCGCUUGAGACUGGAUAGCUUGGAGUGCGGCAGAGGGAGGUGGAAUUCCACGUGUAGCAGUGAAAUGCGUAGAGAUGUGGAGGAACACCGAUGGCGAAGGCAGCCUCCUGGGCCACCACUGGCGCUCAUGCACGAAAGCGUGGGGAGCAAACAGG
rnacentral:rRNA from 1 species